AACGAACGCUGGCGGCAGGCUUAACACAUGCAAGUCGAGCGAGACCUUCGGGUCUAGCGGCGGACGGGUGAGUAACGCGUGGGAACGUGCCCUUCUCUACGGAAUAGCCCCGGGAAACUGGGAGUAAUACCGUAUACGCCCUUUCGGGGAAAGAUUUAUCGGAGAAGGAUCGGCCCGCGUUGGAUUAGGUAGUUGGUGGGGUAAUGGCACACCAAGCCGACGAUCCAUAGCUGGUUUGAGAGGAUGAUAAGCCACACUGGGACUGAGACACGGCCCAGACUCCUACGGGAGGCAGCAGUGGGGAAUCUUAGACAAUGGGGGCAACCCUGAUCUAGCCAUGCCGCGUGAGUGAUGAAGGCCUUAGGGUUGUAAAGCUCUUUCAGCUGGGAAGAUAAUGACGGUACCAGCAGAAGAAGCCCCGGCUAACUCCGUG
rnacentral:rRNA from 1 species